UACGUAGGGUGCAAGCGUUGUCCGGAAUUAUUGGGCGUAAAGAGCUCGUAGGCGGUUUGUUGCGUCGGCUGUGAAAUCCCGAGGCUCAACCUCGGGUCUGCAGUCGAUACGAGCAAACUAGAGUGUUGCAGGGGAGACUGGAAUUCCUGGUGUAGCGGUGAAAUGCGCAGAUAUCAGGAGGAACACCGGUGGCGAAGGCGGGUCUCUGGGCCACAACUGACGCUGAGGAGCGAAAGCGUGGGGAGCGAACAGG
rnacentral:rRNA from 1 species